CCUACGGGAGGCAGCAGUGGGGGAUAUUGCACAAUGGGGGAAACCCUGAUGCAGCGACGCCGCGUGGGUGAAGAAGCGCCUCGGCGCGUAAAGCCCUGUCAGCAGGGAAGAAAAUGACGGUACCUGAAGAAGAAGCCCCGGCUAACUACGUGCCAGCAGCCGCGGUAAUACGUAGGGGGCCAGCGUUAUCCGGGUUUACUGGGUGUAAAGGGGGCGCAGACGGCGAUGCAAGCCAGGAGUGAAAGCCCGGGGCCCAACCCCGGGACUGCUCUUGGAACUGGGUGGCUAGAGUGCAGGAGGGGCAGGCGGAAUUCCUGGUGUAGCGGUGAAAUGCGUAGAUAUCAGGAGGAACACCGGUGGCGAAGGCAGCCUGCUGGACUGCAACUGACGUUGAGGCCCGAAAGCGUGGGGAGCAAACAGGAUUAGAUACCCCAGUAGUC
rnacentral:rRNA from 1 species